UCAGCUCGUUGCUAUGUAACGUGUCAACAACAGAGGAAAGAGGUAAGAACUUAACUUCAUCUGGUUAUUAAAGCUUGUCUGGUUUUUCAGUUACUUUGCAUUUGUAAAAGACAAUAGCAACAUUUUAAGGUUUUCAUUGCAAGGUUGUUCACGGUGGGUAGUGGGUCUGAUAAACUCGUCCCGUUUAUUUUAGCCAGAUAAUGAUGAUGAUAGCCAUUAUGAUCCUACGCCAUCAUUUUUCCCAUUUCUCUGUUUGGUAUCAUCUUUAAAGGGGCAAUUUGUCAGAAUUUUUGUGUAUACUUUUUUUAAAAUUCACUAGAAUUAUUAACAUGGAAUGAAGAAAUAACUGUUUUGAAAUUAUAACAUCUGUGUGUUGUUUUCACCAACACCCCCCUGGUCCCUGAGCUCCCAGUCUGAACUGUUAGCUGCACGGCUAACUGAGCUAACUAGCUAACGGUAGCUACAGUCAGCGGUUACUCUGAGGGACAAAGUGAAGUCCAGCGUGCCUCCACCCUCACAAACAGCAGGAUGAUUGGGCGUCAGGAUAAACCUGAGCCUGUUUUGAUGGAUGAGGAGAUGGUGAAGGAGGCAUCAGUGGAGCAGCUUUCUCAUGAUCAGGCCAGGCGUAUUGCAAAGGCAGAGGGAAUCCACUUCACUGAAAUCCUUAAACUACGUCUUGAAUACAGAAGCAUCCUUAGGAUCGACCACCUGUGGGAAUUCACGUCCUUGGCCAAACUUGAAUUGAACAACAACCUGAUAGGCAAGAUUGAGGGCCUGGACCGUCUGGUUAAUCUGACAUGGCUCAAUCUGUCAUUCAACAGCAUAGAGAAAAUUGAGGGUCUGGGGUCUCUGCGGAAGCUGGAAUUGCUGAAUUUGACCAACAAUCAAAUUUCUGUCAUUGAAAACAUGGACGCACUUGAGAAGCUCACUCAUUUCUGCUUUGCAAACAACCGCCUUGGAGAGCUGGACAACGUGCUCUAUCUCAGGAAGUUUAGGAACCUGUUCACCAUAAACCUUUGCGGAAAUCCUGUGUCUAAGGAUGCGGAUUACAGAUUUUUCAUUGCUGCCUACUUUCCAAAUUUAACGUGCCUUGACUACAGAUUACUUGACCAGAAGACAAAAACCGAAGCAUCUAUCAAAUACCAUUAUCUUCUGGAGGAAAUGAGACACAAGGAGCUGCAGGCUCAACAAGCUGAAGAGGCUGAGCAAAGCCGGAAAGCUGAAGUCAAACUGCACAUGGAUGCAUUUGUGGAACACCUUAAUGGGUCUUAUUUGUUAAAGAGCAUGUUCAAAGAUGAUCCCAAGGCAGAGACGCUCCACUGCGUCCCAGGAGUGGCCUCCCUGCUUCAAACAUUUGAGCAGCAAAUGGUGGAGCUGUGCGUGCAGUUGUUUGAAGUAGGCUUGGCUGAACAUAAGCGGAGAGAGACGGAGGUGAGCGCCUUCUUCAGCGGUCAGACUGCAGCUGUGACAGACUGCCAGCAGAAAGCAUCGCAGAUAUUGGCAAAGUUUGAGCAGCAGCACAAAGAGAGGAUAGUGGAGUUGCAGCAGUUAUCAGACCCAGACCAACUGAGGGUCAAGCUCAACCACUGCAAUGAUGAAAUCAAGCAGCUCUGUAACAGCCUCAUGGCACUGGAGGUUCAGCUGGCCAGCCAGCUGGAGGAUAUCAUCAAAAGGUUUGACAUCAACAUCUCAGACAUCGUUGACAGCUUCAGUGAAACUGCUCAGGGGAUAUUUGCGCAAUGUCGAGAUCUGGAGGAUAAUUAUCACGAGAGAAUGCAGGAGAUUGCUUUAGCAACUCUGGAGAGUGUGUCCAAGGAUGGCCCGGAGGAGGACAUGACAGAUGAUGUUAAAAUGCUGUUUACGGACAGAAACACGGUGAUGGACGCAGUGGCUGUCGGCCACGAUAACCACCUGCUGGUAAUCAAUGACCGAGAGAGUCAGUUGAUUACAGGUGUCGAUGCCUGGAAAGUGGCCCUCAUUAAAGGGAUUCAAGACAAAGAACUUAAGCGGAACCGCAUGUGCGUCUCAGACAUCCACAGAUAUGUGGACCAUCUGAGGGAGCAGCUGGAUGAGUUGCUGUAGCAUCAUCUGUAAAAAAUUUCCUCCAAAAAAGCCAACCAAAUACAUCUGUAUGGUGUACAUCCCGCGUAACUUUAAUACAAGAAGAAUAACAUUUCAGCAACAACAACAACAACAACAGUACAGUGAAGGAAUGAACACAACUCCCAGAAUGCAUCUGUUGACAUCAUCCAAUGAGACUCUUCGUCGAGCCGAGCAGAAGUUCCCAGCCAAUGAAAUUCCUGGAAGCUGGAUUCUGGACUGUGACGUCGCAGGGUCCC